AUCACCUGGGAAUCUUGUUGAAAUGCAGAUUCUGAUUUAGGAGGAUGAGGGAGGGGCUGGAGACUGCAUUUCUAUCAAGCUCCCAGGUGAUGCCCA
rnacentral:pre_miRNA from 1 species